GAUGUCAGGGACAGGCUUGAAGAUUCCUGAUGUCUCAGCACCCAGCACGGCUGUCAGCCUCGGCAGGAGGAAGACCACGGAAAAGAGAGAUGACCAUGUGACCAGGAAAACCCCUCUACAAGGAAGCAUACAUAGUGGGGAACGAAGUGCUUACAAGCAGCAAACAAGCUGGAAGGUGGGUUUAUAUUGACAAGUUCUCCCACCAACAUGGCGCUUCUCGGGAAGUUCCUUCUGAGACCUCAACUGUGGAAGAACAACCUAGACCUUGGAAGAGGAUGCUGCUUUCCCGCCUUCCUCACUUGCACAAGCCUCUGGCUAGUUGAAACAGACAAAGCAGUCUGUCCCUCAUAACCUCAUUAAUAUGACCUGUAGGAGACCUCCUCCGUGUCUCCUGAAUGAUAUAUUUACUCUGAUCUUAGAAGAGACCUACCCAUCCUCCCUGUGUCCUUCAGGCAGAGCAUUUUUACUGUGCACCUCUUUGUGACGAGAUCAUCACAAGAUUCUGGGGAAACAACAGUGAGCACAAUGGACAAAGCCCUUCUUUUGGAACUGGCUUAAGAGACACUCAAUGAACAAGGAAAUGUGUAUCUAUUGGUGUAAAAACUGUACGUUUGGAUGGGGUAUAGAGAAGGUUUGUGUGGGAAGGAUAAACUCACAUAGAAUGGGCAGAGAAGGUCCCUAUGCCCAGAUGUCAUGUGGGCAGAGCAGGAAUGAAGGAUGGGUCCAAGCCAUGGAAAUAGUUGGCCAGAACCAGGAAGAAGAACAGCAGGUGCAAAGGUCCUGGGGCGGGGGUGCACAUGGCACAGAUGAGCAGCAGCAAGGGAGGUGCUGCCGCACGACGUAGCAAGACAGGAGAUGGGAUGUGGCUCCUGGGGAAGAAGAAGGACAGUGAAGAAGGCGGUUGAGCAAGGAGCUAGAAAAACUAACGCGGACAUGAGGACGAAGCAAAGAUAGUCAUUUUAGGACAUUUGGUCUAAGCCAGAACUGUCUCUCACACCUCAAGGCCAUCUGCAGGGAUUUCACUAUAUACAGUAUGAUAGUUGAUGCUUAUAUGAUCACCCCAAGUUGUUAACAUGAGUUUAUGUUUAUAUUCAGCAUUCCAUUUAUUUUAAUUCCAAACACCUUUAUUGAGCCCUUAGUACAUGGGAGACCUUAUGUCAGACAGUGGGAAUGGAAAGAUGAGAAAUUUAGCGUCAUCAACCUUCCAGAGUUCAUAAUCUAGCUAGAGAGAAAUAUGCAUAGCUAUGUACCCUGAUUAUGAAAACAAGAAAAUGCUUCGUGUAUUUAAAAAGCUCUCUAUCUAAAAUAAUUUCACUUACAUUUAAAUAACUUAAUACUAAAAGGGGAAUCUCGAGUUGCUGAAAAUUCACUGAUAUGGAAAUCUUCAAACCCAACUAUGCCAGGAAAAAACACAGACUU
rnacentral:lncRNA from 1 species